GAAGCUUCCUGGGUCUUCCAGACAGAACAAUGGAAAAGCAGCUGCCUUCAACACCAAGGCUACUUCCUAGUACAAGAAAGGAAGGAACAUUUUCAGAAUGAAAGAAUAUGUCCUACACUUUCAACAGGUGUAAUUCAGCAUUACUUUGAAGUCAAAGGAGCUGCACUGAUUUACCAUGGUGAAGGAUGUGGCCCUAUGCAAACAAGGAAAGGACAAGAAACAAUAGUAGGGUUCCUGGGGCUGUUGUGAGAGAUGGAGGUGGUUCCCCCACUUAACUCAUGGAUCUGCCUGAUGUUCUGAAAGUGUUUUGUGCCCUGAAAUUGAGGGGAUAGAAGGUGAGCCACCAACACUGGUAAAACUUCUCCAGCAGUGCUGCUACCAGACAUCAGUACUCAGCAUGUAGAGCUAAUCCAGGAGAUGGAGCUUUCAGAGAACCUGGCAGAAAGUAAAAUCUGGUAAAAGAUAUAUUCUGCUGAACCUACAAAUUGUGAACCAACCAUGUAAACUUGAGGGGAUUAAUGGGAACUCUAGGCUCCAAGAAAUGUUUGGGCCAAGCACAAGCAUGGGUUUAUAGAGCUGACUGAGUCUGAUAAAAACACGAUACACGGGUAAAAUCUUUCCUUUGCUCAUCUAUGAGAAGCUGAGUUGAACUUUGCUGUGUAUUUGAUUGAUCCUGUUUUACUAGACACCAGCCAUGAUAUAGUGUUAUGUACGGGUGCUGUGGCUUUAAGAAACUAAUGUCAAAAGUACUGCAUAAUGCCUGACUGAAUUACUGCAAUGACCCCUCCUGGGACUACACCUGACUACCAUUUGGAAGUUCAAUUAUUACAGAUUGGCAGCUGAAUUGCUUAUAGGUAUUUCCUGCAGGGAAUUUACCAUGUGACACC